UGCAUGCCGGAUCAAGUGGUGCCCAGUGUGGGGGCUCCUGGCAUGGGGGAGUUAACGAGGGAGCCGUUUGAGAACGCCGGUGAGAAGUAAAAACAAAUUAAAUCAAGGAUCAAAGCUAAGACUGAAAACAAACUAAAUCAAGGAUCGAAGCUAAGAGUGAAAGCAAACUGAAUCAAGGACCGAGGCCUGCAUGGACAACUGCCCAAUGUGCCGCCCGAGUCACGGCCUCGCGAUCACCGCGUCUGAUGACUUGGCAGUGCCACGGCUCCCAACAUCAAGCAUUGAGCGAACAUGAAUUGUUCAUGAGAAGCCUCAGCAAGGCAUGAAAGACAAGAGGGACAACACAACUCCUCAGAGCCUUAUGCUGCCUGCUCAGCCUUCUCCUCGGACCGUACCACACCCAUGGUGGAUUUAGAACCCCGCCAAACAGACUACAACUGCUGACAGCCAUGCACAGAACCCCCUGUGACUGCGGAAGAGGCUCUUUUCGGUCUGGAGGAACACAAACCAGCCAAAUAGAUUGCGGAAAAAUGUUGCUUCUAUGUCAAUCAGUCCGGUGUUAUGCGAUGCAAGCUCCAAGAAAUAGAAGAACGACUUCAACAGCGAUGACAACAAAUGGCCGCUAACCCCUUCUCCUCGAUGUGUGUCGGGGGGGAGCUUUUCCCUUACCUAGUGCCCCUUUUGGGUCCCUAGCUGCCCUGUUGCUUCUCCUUUCUGUAGAUCCUUAUAUUUUUCAGAGGAUUAUGACGCUCAUUAAUAACCAGAUAGACAUGUUUAUGGCAAAGCCCAUUCAGGUACACUAUCACCAGCUGGAGAUGGCAGAUCACAAACCUACCAGGAAGGAAUUCCCACGAGUGGCCCAUAUGACGAUGUGGCCUAACUGUACUGGGGCAAUGGACAGGCAUCCAGAGACGGGCAACUAGGACAUGCAUGAUUACAUGGCUGGCUGCUUAAGACAGGCACAGGACCAACUGCUGUCCUGCAAGCCCAUGAUGGGUAAGGCCUGGUUGGGUUCAUGUAAUGAGGUUCCUUGGCCUAAGACAGGCGCUGUCCUCACAGAGCCUGCCAUAAUCCUGAUUAAAUAAUAUAGAAAGGGAGGAGAUGUAGGGAGCAGCAUGACCGCCCCAUUGCUUCCUCCCUGCCUCUCUCCUAUGGGCAUCUGAUGCACCUGCCUACAUUAACCAUAAUCCUCUCCUGCUUACGUCAUAUACCUGGACGUGACGAUAACCCUGUUGUAUUCAUCCCCAUAGCCUUUUCCUGUCCCAU